rnacentral:ncRNA from 1 species
CUCCCGUGACUGGCGGAAAGGUGGAGUACCACCGGGAAAUGGAAGGCGUAAGGCCGUAUAUCCGGCAGCCGACCGCCUGGGCGCA